CCUACGGGUGGCAGCAGUGGGGAAUAUUGCACAAUGGGGGAAACCCUGAUGCAGCGACGCCGCGUGGGUGAAGAAGUAAUUCGUUAUGUAAAGCUCUAUCAGCAGGGAAGAAAAUGACGGUACCUGAGUAAUAAGCACCGGCUAACUACGUGCCAGCAGCCGCGGUAAUACGUAGGGGGCAAGCGUUAUUCGGAUUUACUGGGUGUAAAGGGCGCGUAGACGGCAGUGCAAGUCUGAUGUGAAAGCCGGGGGCUCAACCCCCGGACUGCUCUUGAAACUGUAUGGCUAGAGUGCAGGAGAGGUAAGUGGAAUUCUUAGUGUAGCGGUGAAAUGCGUAGAUAUUAGGAGGAACACUCGUGGCGAAGGCGGCCUACUGGACUGUAACUGACGUUGAGGCUCGAAAGCGUGGGGAGCAAACAGGAUUAGAUACCCGAGUAGUC
rnacentral:rRNA from 1 species